CAGCAGCCACGGUAAUACAGAGGGUGCAAGCGUUAAUCGGAAUUACUGGGCGUAAAGCGCGCGUAGGUGGUUCGCCAAGUUGGAUGUGAAAUCCCCGGGCUCAACCUGGGAACUGCAUCCAAAACUGGCGAGCUAGAGUAUGGUAGAGGGUGGUGGAAUUUCCUGUGUAGCGGUGAAAUGCGUAGAUAUAGGAGGGAACAUCAGUGGCGAAGGCGACCACCUGGACUGAUACUGACACUGAGGUGCGAAAGCGUGGGGAGCAAACAGGAUUAGAUACCCCAGUAGUCCCUGUCUCCUUAUU
rnacentral:rRNA from 1 species